AUGCUCCUAACACUCCUCUAGACUUACUAUUGAGUGUAUUUUUAUGAGUUGAAGAGGCAGUUGCUUCGAGCAGUACGCGCAGUCUUCGCC